CAGUUUGAUUCUGACUGAGAAAUUAACUUAAGCCAACCAACAUACAUGUAAAAUACCCUAUGCCCGCACUAAUUUAUAUCUAAAUGACUUAAUAAAUGUAUUAAGAGUACUAAAUACAGCAGAGCGCCACAGUAAGUAACACUUUUCAAUUUGCAAAAACAAGAAAAGAGUAUGGUUAAAGGGCUGGCAAAACUCGUGCCAGCUGCCGCGGUUAGACGACAAGCCCAAGUUAAUAUAAUAUAAACUAAAUUAAUGAUAACAUAAAAAACAAUAAAAGUCUAAUUUUCAAAGUCCUCGUUCCACACUUAUCAAAUAAUAAUGAAAUCAUAACCUAAAACGUGGAUUAGAUACCCACCUAUUUAUGAUAUAAAUAACAGUUGAAUAUUACGAACAAUAGUUUAAAAUUCAAAGAUUUUGGCGGUGUCUUAUAAAACCAGGGGAACCUGUCUCGUAACUCGAUAAUCCACGCAUACUCAACCUUCUCUCGAUAUACAGCAUGUGUACUGCCGUUGUAAGCAUACCUUUAAAAGAAUAAGUAUGCCACUAUGACUAACAUUAACUCAUAUACAUCAGGUCAAAGUGCAGCUAAUAAGAAGGUGACGAUGGGUUACAACCCCAAAAUAGACUAUCAACCAAGAAAUAAAAAAUCUUAAGAAAGUGGACUUGGCCGUAAUCAAUUUUAAGUUAAAAAAAAUGAAUAAAACCUAAGACAUGCACACAUCGCCCGUCACUCUAUCCUAAAGGUUAGAUAAGUCGUAACAAAGUAGGUGUAAUGGAAAUUGCACCUGU
rnacentral:rRNA from 1 species